UACGGGGGGGCAAGCGUUGUUCGGAAUUACUGGCGUAAAGGGCUCGUAGGCGGCCAACUAAGUCGGACGUGAAAUCCCUCGGCUUAACCGGGGAACUGCGUCCGAUACUGGAUGGCUUGAGUUUGGGAGAGGGAUGCGGAAUUCCAGGUGUAGCGGUGAAAUGCGUAGAUAUCUGGAGGAACACCGGUGGCGAAGGCGGCAUCCUGGACCAACACUGACGCUGAGGAGCGAAAAGCCAGGGGGAGCAAACGGGG
rnacentral:rRNA from 1 species